rnacentral:rRNA from 1 species
CACGUAGGUGGCAAGCGUUAUCCGGAAUUACUGGGCGUAAAGCGCACGCAGGCGGUCUUUUAAGUUUGACGUGAAAGCUCCCGGCUUAACUGGGAGAGGUCGUUGAAGACUGGAAGACUUGAGGCAAUGAGAGGGGUGUAGAAUUCCCGGUGUAGUGGUGGAAUGCGUAGAUAUCGGGGGGAAUACCAGUGGCGAAAGCGGCACCCUAGCGUUAGCCUGACGCUCAUGUGCGAAAGCGUGGGGAGCGAACGGG